rnacentral:rRNA from 1 species
AACGAACGCUGGCGGCAUGCCUAACACAUGCAAGUCGAACGAGACCUUCGGGUCUAGUGGCGCACGGGUGCGUAACGCGUGGGAAUCUGCCCUUGGGUUCGGAACAACAGUUGGAAACGACUGCUAAUACCGGAUGAUGACUUCGGUCCAAAGAUUUAUCGCCCAGGGAUGAGCCCGCGUCGGAUCAGCUAGUUGGUGAGGUAAAAGCUCACCAAGGCGACGAUCCGUAGCUGGUCUGAGAGGAUGAUCAGCCACACUGGGACUGAGACACGGCCCAGACUCCUACGGGAGGCAGCAGUGGGGAAUAUUGGACAAUGGGCGAAAGCCUGAUCCAGCAAUGCCGCGUGAGUGAUGAAGGCCUUAGGGUUGUAAGGCUCUUUUACCCGGGAAGAUAAUGACUGUACCGGGAGAAUAAGCCCCGGCUAACUCCGUGCCAGCAGCCGCCGUAAUGC